GAAGCGAGGGCCGGGCGGGGGGCGCAGGGCCCGGCCCGCGGGAAGGCGCUGAGAGGGGCAGGGUGGCCGCGCAGGCUGGGCAGCCCGGGGGGGCCCAGGUCCCUCCGCUGAGCGGGGACAGGCCUUGGCAGUGGGCUGCAGGGCGGGGGAUGAAGCUGCCUCUCCAGGCCGCUGCCGUCCGUGAGAGACAGGCCAGGAAGCACCGAGCAAACAGGAUCGGCAUCCACGAGUCCUCCUGCGCUGGGAGUUGCCGUGGCCAGGGGAGAGAAAGGCUCAAGGCCUCCAGGAUCUAUGCAGACCCUGCGAAAAGGCUGGAGCUGUAUUUCCGCCCUAAGGACCCCUACUGCCAUCCCGUGUGUGCCAAUCGCAUCCCCACCUCCACCAUGCUGCUCAAGGUGAGGAGGAGGACCAAGAAGAAGAAGCAGCUGGAGGCUGAAGACCAGUUUCAGACUGAAGUCAAGUUUGAAAUGGAAAUUCUGGGGAUUGUCACUACUGUUUACAAAUUUCAAGGAAUGUCUGACUUCCAGUACCUGGCAAUGCACUCUGGACCUGACGGCAAGCAAACCUCUAUGUAUGACAAAGUCCUAAUGCUCAAACCAGAGAAAGAAGAAUUCUUCAAUAGAGAGUUACCUCUCUACAUUCCUCCACCAAUUUUCUCACGUCUGGACACUCCUGUUGACUAUUUUUAUCGGCCAGAUAUACAACACCGGGAUGGAUAUAACAAUCCCCAAGUAUCUGGUGAGAACCUGAUUGGCCUCAGCAGGGCCCGGCGCCCACACAAUGCUAUCUUUGUGAACUUUGAUGAUGAAGAAAUCCCAGCUAAACCACUGGAUGCUGCUGUACAGACCUGGAAGAAAGUAUGCACUAAUCCUGUGGAUAAAAAGGUGGAGGAAGAGCUGAGAAAGCUCUUUGAAGUCCGUCCUGUCUGGUCUCGGAAUGCAGUCAAGGCCAUUAUCAGUGUUCAUCCAGACAAGCUGAAACUUCUGUUGCCAUAUUUGGCCUAUUACAUGCUAACAGGUCCCUGGAGAAGCUUAUGGGUUAGGUUUGGGUAUGACCCCAGAAAACACCCUGAAGCAAAGAUUUAUCAAGUCCUGGAUUUCCGAAUUCGCUGUGGAAUGAAAUAUGGUUAUGCCUCUAAUGAUAUGCCAGUGAAAGCAAAACGUAGCACAUAUAACUACAGUCUGCCCAUCACUGUCAAAAAGCCAGUAAGUCAUACAGUCAGUAUACAUGAUCUGAAACAAGGGCUCAGUACUUCUGGGGCAUCCACUUCAAAAAAGCCUUCCUCCAGCAGGUACAAACUGAAGGAAUCUAUCUACAUUUUCCGAGAAGGAGCCUUACCACCUUAUCGGCAGAUGUUCUACCAGCUCUGUGACUUGAAUGUGGAGAGCUUACAGAAAAUCAUCCAUCGGAACGAUGGUGCAGAGUCAGAAUGCACAGAACGGGAUGGGUGGUGCCUUCCAAAGACUAGUGAUGAUCUGCGAGAUACCAUGUCUCUGAUGAUAAAGCAGAUAAUCAGAUCCACAAGACCUGCUCUUUUCUCAAGUACAACAAGCAGUGAAGAUGGCAAAGAGCAGCUGACAUAUGAGUCUGGAGAGGAAGAGGAUGAUGAAGAGGAGGAGGAAGAGGACUUCAAGCCUUCUGAUGGGAGUGAAAAUGAAAUGGAAACAGAAAUUCUGGACUACGUAUGAAUUCAGUGAGCAGCCUAGCUGCGGUUGGAUAGACUUCUUCCUUUUAGUUUCUUGAGUGCUAAGGGAUUAGCAACCAUGCACAGGAUGUGGAAAUGCAGAACUUGUAAUAAGAUGCCAUCUACUUACCUGACACUGAAUGUGGUACCUGCUGAUGGCCAUCAUUCUGGAUGUUUAGGAGCCAUUGCCUACAUUUUUGUAAUUGCUGGCCAAAAAGCCCUCAUAAAAUUGAUGCGAUGGGGAUACUGUUUUCUUGCCUAGCUCCAGCUGGCAUUUACUGUUGCAGUUCUUGCUAGUUCAGAUGAGGUUUGACCUCUGGUCUGCAAAAGCAACAUCUGCAGGGCUCUCACACAGUGAUGCCAACCUAUCUCUUUGGCCUCAGCCAGCUGAAGGACAAGUAUGCCGGGGCACUCUUCUGGUGUACUUUGUAGCCAAGACGGGGUCACAGAAGUGCAUGGACACGUAGCUGCACUCCUAUCUCUCUCUAUAUAUAUAAACCUGCAUUUUGGGCCUGGCUCCUCAUGUGUGCAUGCACCAUGGCUCGCUGGGAGAGUCUGUGCUUUGCCUUAUGCUGCUACCUUGGGGUAGCACAGGCUGCAACGGUAAGUAAAGAGCCAUUUCCUAUGGCUUUGCAAGACUUUUUUUUUGCCUGUUCCUGCCUGAAUUAAAAAAAAAAAAAAAAAAAAAAAAAAAGUCUGAUUUGGACCCCAUGAAAAAGGGACUGCAGAACGUGACAGCAAAGGUAGGGUACUCUCCUGCUCUAAACAUGCCAAAGGCUCUCACCACCAUUUUCCAAAUGCUCCUUUUACAAUCUUGUAUCAUGUCAGGCCCGGGUUACAUCUGAAGGCUGUAGGUCCUCGACUACUGCUGUUGAUGCUUGGGAAAUGCAGGGAAAUUGCUGCUGUCUGCCUGCUGCAGAGGAUAGACUGCCCGACAUUUGUACCAGAGUAUAUCCAGUGGCAGCUACGUCGGUUUUCCAUAGGGGUCAAAAGGGACAGCUAGGGAAGGAGGCUGCAAGUCAGGCCUUCUAGGGGAAUGCUCCAGCCAGCUUAUUGGGUACUGAUGGGUGCUGGCAAUGAGGGAAGCCAGAGGCAUGAGAGGUUAUGCUGUGUGGAUUUACUUUUCUCUCUUCCCAACGGGACAACAUUUAGCUGGGUGUGGUGCACACCGAAGGAGGUUUUGUGGAAGGUGAGAAUAAAAAGCUGGGACUCUUUGGGAACUACAUUGAUAUCUUCAGAG